UUAACAAUUUGGGUAGAUAAGGAUCACUUGCCAGAGAACCUGCCUUUCUGAAUAGUGAUGUAAAGUCAGCAGGGCUGGUGACAAGGGCUCGCCUUUCCUAGGCAGGAUUCAUCCCAGGAGAGAGUGGUGCACAGCAGUCAACAGCUCUGGCAGUGCUGCAGCUGAAUAAGCAUGAGCCUGGGGUGCUUCCUAACCUACAGAAACUCUUACAAAGCUGAAUUCUAGAGAAGAUUGAAUUCUGCCUCCUUUUGCACUGGGAAGCCAAGCAACCAUGCAACUUGCAGGACUUGGGACCCUUUUCUUCUCAUGCCUGGAGCCAGCCUCAAACAUACAACAAAGUCCAUUCAGGAGCUAAUAUCAAAGGAGCAAGGUGUUUUUCAGCUAUGGUAGAUGCACACCUUAUACCCACGCCCUGUAGAUGAUGGGCACAUUGAAUAAGAUGAAUGCCUAACUGGUCAGAUCCUUUCCUGAUGAACGGUGGUGUAUCUGGGAUAUGUCAACUUCCAGAAAGAUUUUGUCAAAUGACACAACUGAUGAAGACUUCAAACUCACCAAACAGUACUGCCCCAAGGAACAGAAGACAAGAGUGGGUGCAUGGAGCAGCCCAGCACCUCAGCAGAGGGAAAUCUCCUGGGAUCGAGGUGAGAAAAUGCAGAGCCAACAGACUCACUUCUAGAGAAAAGCCAUCCUAGACUCAUAUCACUCAUAUCUCUUUGACUUGACCACCAAAAUCCAUUUCUUGCUGCCUUGUCAGCAAGAAAUGAAGCCAAGGCUGGUGGGACAGCAGUGGAGUCACCCAAGAUCCCUCUGCUUCUGGAGGACAAAACAUCUAUCCCCCUGCUCAUCUGUCAGGAUUCCCCCUCUGGAAAAGAAGAUCAGAGCAAAUGGGGAAUGAGGAGAAUAAAAGCUGUCCCAAACCUUUGACCUCAACUUAACGUAAAGCCAAAUGAAACCCUAGAGAUCUUCUCCAAAGUUUUCUCCAGUGUCACACCCAGAGGGUGCAUUAAAGCCCUCAGCACUGGUGACAGCAGCGACUCACUGGGCCAGUUGCUGUCCCAUGAAGGAGAUUAAUACCAAUGGGACUAUUUCCCCUAAACAAGGAGAAUCUGCAUGAUGAGAAGAGCAAAAGAAGUUGUAUGUCCACAGAACUUGCAGAAGUCUCAAGAAAACUCCUGAACUCAGUGUGAGUUGGAAGCCAGGUCCUAGCAUCUUGCUUCACAUCACCGCAGUGCCAUGAUUGCCUGUCUUCUGAGACAUGGAUUUUUCACUCUGUCCAUGCUAGUUGACACCAGCAAAUCAUUCCAGGCAGGAGUCCUAGGCUGUUUUUUGAACACCACACCAACCAGCCGCUUGCAGCAUCUUGACAGCACUACCACCCUGCAAUAAACUUACAGAAUUUGGUUUUUCAGUGAAGGUUGGCUGUAAGGGAAGAGGGAGAGAGGAAAGCACAAGAAAAAACCCAAACUUCCCUUCCAAGCACCAUCCCAGCCAUACGCAUGGACUUGCACAGCUGUUCCCAAGCCCGGUAUCGGAGCACCGCACGUAAGGAGCACUUCUGCAGGACCACACAAGUUUGCUGCUAUUCUUAAGCCGAGCCUCGCAAUUGGGAAACUCCUGCCAAGUUGUUUGAGACAGUGGCACCUGGGAAGUAUUAUAUGAGUCUGUAUUGCAUCAUGAGAACCCUAUUUGCACUUAAUUACACAACUCCCUCUCUCCUCCCAGUAGAACGAGCGGGACAGAUGCUACAUCUACAAAGUGAGAAUCAAACACAUUUUUUAAGUGGAGUCUGACAGCCUGAAGCCUAGAGGCAGGCUUCAGACCAGAUCCCAACAGUGAAGAUCCUCACAGUACUGAAUGGCUCAGGCCAAUGAGUUUUUGUGCAUGGAUUCCACAUACCUUACUAUGGGCCUGUCUCAUGCUCCUGCCUCCUUAUGCAGAAAUGUAGUUGAGGAGGUUUUGACCACCAUCCUCUUCCUUGGUCUUUCUCUGUGAGCCUUUUGCAGCCGGAAGCCUGGAUAUUAUCUUCACAAGGCUCCUGCCACAUCUUUUCUAUGGUGCUGGUCACCAUCUUAACACAGUGUGUUAAGAAGCCUUGCAAGGCUUCUUUAUCCAAACCUGUGGAUUGCACUGGUGCCUCUGGAUUUGAGUCAGGUUAACAGACAUCAGUUGGGCUAACCAAUGAAGAUUCUUUGACAACGAUGAGCGAUGGAGAGGCAGGAAAACCCCAACUGGCUUUGCUAAGCCAAGAUAAAUAACAGCAGCACCACCACAUCAUGCUUGACAGGAGCAGAUCCUCUCAAAACAGGCAGCUGGCAGGUGGGCGCAGAUCCACCACUGGCUAACACCUGCCUGAAGUGGCAGACUCUAUUGCUGUUCUGCAAGCCAUCGCAGACUGCAUGGCAACAAAUGUGCAAACUGCUCUUUUUAAAGCAACUCUUUGGAAGUUCGGAUCCUCAUGUGUAUUUCUAACCUGAGCUCAUUACUUAAGCCCUUGCAAUUGUAUGUAACCGGAGGCAUUACCCUUUUAUUCUCCCUUCAUAAAUCAAAUCUCCCAUGUUUUGCCAUAUAAUCCAAGACUGGAAAUACCUUUUCUGUUUAUGUCACACCACGGUAAUGCAGUCACUGAUCUGCCACAGGCUUCAGCUGCUGUAAAUUCUUUUCCUACUGCCCUUUCCCCCACCAGCUUUCUCGCAGUGCUUUAUGGCUCACAGGUCUGGGCAUUGAUUCAGUAAUUUCUUUAAGGAGGGCCCAGAAGGUAUGAUGGAAAAGUAUGUUUAUCAGAUGUGAUAUAGUUGAAUGAAUGCAGUAAAUGCUGUCCUACACAAACAAAAAUACAAAUCCAGCAAGGAAAGUUUUCAUGUGCCCAGCUCAAAAAUUUUGCUGAUAAUGAUUAAUGCUGUGGAUGAGAAGAGGGGUUCUCACAACCUUUGUGUUGACUGUUAAUCUGCAUGGAAACCACUUGCACAAAGUUUAAGUCAGUGCAGAUCACCAACUAUUUCUGUGCAGCUCCUCUUAUGAUGACUUUCACAAUAAAAUGGGAGAUCUUCCAUGGUUUCACUUUAA